rnacentral:rRNA from 1 species
GUUCCUACGGGGCGCAGCAGUGGGGGAUAUUGCACAAUGGGGGGAACCCUGAUGCAGCGACGCCGCGUGGGUGAAGGAGCGUUUCGGCGCGUAAAGCCCUAUCGGCAGGGAAGAAGGAGGACGGUACCUGACUAAGAAGCCCCGGCUAAAUACGUGCCAGCAGCCGCGGUAAUACGUAGGGGGCAAGCGUUAUCCGGAUUUACUGGGUGUAAAGGGGGCGCAGACGGCAGCGCAAGCCAGGGGUGAAAGGUCGGGGCCCAACCCCGGGACUGCUCUUGGGAC